UACAGAGGCCCCAAGCGUUACUGAGAAUCACUGGGUUUAAAGGGUGCGUAGGUGGCGCGUUAAGUCCGUUGUGAAAUCCCUGGGCUCAACCCAGGAAAUGCUUCGGAUACUGGCGUGCUUGAGGCUAGUAGGGGUCACUGGAACUGACGGUGGAGCGGUGAAAUGCGUAGAUAUCGUCAGGAACGCCAAUGGUGAAGACAGGUGACUGGGCUAGAUCUGACACUGAGGCGCGAAAGCGUGGGGAGCGAACGGG
rnacentral:rRNA from 1 species